AGCUCCAAUAGCGUAUAUUUAAGUUGUUGCAGUUAAAAAGCUCGUAGUUGGAUUUCGGGUGGGUUCGGUCGGUCCGCCUCUGGUGUGCACUGAUUGAGCCUUCCUUUCUGCCGGGGACGGGUUCCUGGGCCUCACGGUUUGGGACUCGGAGUCGGCGAGGUUACUUUGAGUAAAUUAGAGUGUUCAAAGCAAGCCUACGCUCUGAAUACAUUAGCAUGGAAUAACGCGAUAGGACUCUGGCCUAUCUUGUUGGUCUGUAGGACUGGAGUAAUGAUUAAGAGGGACAGUCGGGGGCAUUCGUAUUUCAUUGUCAGAGGUGAAAUUCUUGGAUUUAUGAAAGACGAACUUCUGCGAAAGCAUUUGCCAAGGAUGUUUUCA
rnacentral:rRNA from 1 species